rnacentral:lncRNA from 1 species
GAGGGGGGCCAACCAAGCAUCCCCAGCCCCGGGGCCACCCAGCCUGCUCCGGAGGGAGGGGGCAGGGAAAAAGGGCAUCUCGGGGCCAAAACCUCAUGCCGGAUCCUCCGGCUUUCCCCCCAUUUCCAGGAUAUCGUUUCGCAUCAGGGACACUCGUCUCCACACCUCCUACCUCAAAGUCCUACGCACCUACCCUUCACGUCUCUCCAAAGCAACUGAAUUAAAGCGCCUACUGGCCUUGGCGGCGCAGGUCCCAAGAUUUUGACUGAUUGGUUGUACGACUAGAGUUGCUGGAGUUCAAGUAUUUUCAUUUUAACUAUUCAACUGAAAGCAGUGCGUUACAACAGAACACGGGUUCCAAAGAAUUUACUGAGAAGAAGCAAAGUAAUACUUGGGAGAACUAUAAUACACAGGCAUCUCAUGAAAAUCAUCCAACAUAUAGAAGAAUAUAUAGAAUAAAGCAAAAAUCAUCAGAAACUCCACCGUCUUGGAUGACCAUAGUUGAUAUUCUGAAUGGCUUCUGUUCCGAUUGAACCUUGACUGAUGUAGCACCUAUCACCAAAUUGCUGUUCAGGAAAUAUGUCCUAAAGAAACUCCCAACAGCAGCAAUACAUCAGAGUGGCACCUCUUUACACUGGUUCUUGAGAAGAUGUCAGAGUGAGAUUUGCAAUAGACUCCCAGCAGCCCCCAGGAGCACCAAGUGAGAUGCCUGCCAGGCCCACUGUGUCCACUGCCCUCUGGUAGCACCUGAGGAUCAUGGAAAUUAAAUCCUGGUAGAUAAAGGGGAAGACGUAAGGAAGACAAGACAAGGGACUGAGGAAAUGUUGGGGAAGAUGAGAACACCUCAGAAACCACAAUUGAAGAAUUCCUAGGACCCCCAGGAAAGGGGCACAUCCAGAAAGGAGAUAAGAUCAGAAGCCUUUAUUUCCACUAUUCAGCCACUCACUGCCUGAGACUUAACUUCAUUUCAAGUAAGGGGAUAAUAUUUGGCCCCUAAGUAUCUUACAAGGGUUUUGUUUUCCCUAAGAGAAAAAAAAUUAGGUAAGAUCAUAAGUAAGAAAGGAUUUUUUGAAUUAAAAAUAUAUGCAAAUGCAAGUUAUAACAAUUUUUGUUCUGGAUAUUUUUGCAGUAGAUAGAAAAGUUCUUUGUGCUGUGGCCACCUGCCUAAUGCUGUUGACUGGCUGGUAAUAGAUGCCUGGGAGUCAUUUUGAGGUUACUUAGAGCCUCUUUCCACCACCAGAUGGAAGGAAAUUGGGCAACUUCUUGAGUAAUUGGCUCUUCUGACUCACGUUUCUUGCAUUGUGACCUGGGUGCUACCCAGGAUGAGCAAGGAAUUUCCUCUCUGGAGUUGUUUAAGGAAUAGCCCAAACGUUCAGCUUCAUCUUUUUUUAAUGCCGCCUCUAACACUACCUGAGCAGCCACAGAAAAGUAUUUGCUGCUGCAGUAUUUUGGAUCAGCUGAAAUAUAUUUUGAGUAUGUACUCUGGGAAAGGCACAGAAUACCAUUUCUUUACUGAGAUUCUCUUCAAGGAUUUCCAUCCCUCCUUAAAGACCUAGUUGGGAUGGAGCAAUGUAUUUAGAACAUGAUGUGAGUACCAACAAGGAGUCGGGAGACACCUUUUAGCUGUACUUCUUUAUCUUUCUCUCCUUGCUUCCUCUGUCUCUGGUUUCCCCUUUUGCAUCUCUUGUUUUUCCUUUCUUUUCUUGUAUUACUUUCUCUUGAUCAAUAGAGCUGCCAUAGCCUUCCCAGACAUAAAUAAUCAGCUUCCUUGGAAGUACUCAGAAUGUGAACAGCUGUAGCCACUUAGACCUGGUCUUAGAUUCUCACCCCUUGUUGUGUAUUGUAAUUAUCUAGGGAACUUAAAAGGUACUGAGGCAUGGGCCCCAAUGGAAUCAUUAUCCCUGGGGGGUGGGGUGGGCCCUAGACCUGGUAUUUUCAAAAACUUUCAAAAAUUAUUCUAACACAUACGCAGAUUAAACU